GUCCUAUUCGAAUUUGGAAUUUUUACAAGGAUCGGAUUUUCUUCGCCGGUUCAAAUCUUCUUGACAACAUUCUAUUCCGAUGCAAUCAAAUCCUAUUCGAGUUUAUUUCCAGAUGAUGACUAAAACCAUAGUCAUUAUUAUUAAUUCAAGAAAUCAUGCAUCCUGAAGCAGCUUUGUACUGCAGGAGAAUGUUUGUACUACACAAAGGGUAUGGUAGUUUCCUUUGUACUUCAUCUUUGUAGUACUGUUAGUACUUAACUGAGAUUUCUCCAUCAGCCCUUUCAGUAUGCAAAGGUUCAAACACCACAGACAGAAAGAUGACCGGCGGAUCAUUCGUGCGUUUCUUUUGAAUUUCACCAAACUCAAUGAGAGCUGCAACGGAGAAGGCGAGAUGCAUACGACGGGCGGCGCAGAAAUACUCUACAGGUUGCUGGACAACUGGUCCUGAUUCGAUGUGGUUGGGUCCUCGCCGUUGUAGUCGAGAUCCACGAGCGUGGGCGGUGCAUGCUUUGGGUUUCGGUUUGCAUCAUAGAGCGGCGAUUUCGGGUCGGCAAACAUGGCAGGCAUCUGCAUGCCGGCGGGCGCAUCCCAGUUCCAAUAGGGCAAUGCGAAGGUCGGGUCUCCAAUCAAGCUCCCCAAGAUCUUCUCAUAGAAGUAGAGGUAGUAACGGUGGAAUGGGAAGAAUAGCCAAGAGUUGUGGACUUGGAUAUCCAGGUUUGGAAACCCGACUUGGUGAUAGGCCCCGUCACAAUAGGCGCAAUGCACAUUGGCUUGUUGCAUGAAGCUACGCGGGUCGUCGGCAGGUAAGGCCUUCAUGAGCUCAAUGGCCUUGGCGUACUUGGCGAUGUAGUCCUUAUCGGCCAAAUGAGCGGCUGGCCUCACGCGCAAGGGCGAGUUUGAGUGUGGAAGCUUGAAGUCUAGGAUCUUGGUGGAGGACGGCGGGCAACAGUUGGUGGCCUUCACACCAGCCGGCAAGUCGGCCUUCCCACACUUGGUAAGGUCCGGGGCGGAUAUCGGGGCCGCGAGCGCAAACGGGUCAGAUCCGAGCCCGACCGCCCCGUAGAAGCCGCCGAGGCCAAUGAGCACAUUCCUCCUGUCGAGCUUGGCCGACAUAGGAGUUUGUUCGGAGUUGUCAUUGCCCGGGGCCUUGCACGAAACGGUCGAUCGCCGCGUCGAGUGUUUUCUGGGCUUUGUGUAGAGGGAGACCGGCGCCCAUUUGUGGAAGAAUGGACCGUAUGUGGAGAUGGCAGCGGAGGAAGAGAAGGAGGAGGUGGUGGUGGUGCCGGCGGCAGCGGCAGCUGCGGCUGGUGCAGGAAGAGAAGCCAUUGGCCAAAGUUUAGGGUGCUUAAGCAAAAGAUGAAUGGCACUAUUAUAUAGAGUUGUCAACACAGAGUGGUUAGACUUUUUCUCGUUCAUGUCACUACGUAUUCUAAAGUUGACGGGUAACAUUUAGAAACGAUCGACUCCACGUGGGAAAUUGAAGGAAACUCUAGGUACAGCUUCCUCCAAUUCCGUGAUAGAAAACCCUAGUUUGAAAAUCCUUUUUCUUCUCGGUUUGUCCAAGAAAGUCUAUGUAAUCGGAUCGAAAUUGAUGAUAAUGAAAAGAAUAGUCAGAUCAUUGGUA